rnacentral:rRNA from 1 species
CGUAGGGUGCGAGCGUUAAUCGGAAUUACUGGGCGUAAAGCGUGCGCAGGCGGUUUUGUAAGACAGAUGUGAAAUCCCCGGGCUCAACCUGGGACCUGCAUUUGUGACUGCAAGGCUAGAGUACGGUAGAGGGGGAUGGAAUUCCGCGUGUAGCAGUGAAAUGCGUAGAUAUGCGGAGGAACACCGAUGGCGAAGGCAAUCCCCUGGACCUGUACUGACGCUCAUGCACGAAAGCGUGGGAGCAAACAGGAUUAGAUACCCUGGUAGUCCACGCCCUAAACGAUGUCAACUGGUUGUUGGGUCUUUACUGACUCAGUAACGAAGCUAACGCGUGAAGUUGACCGCCUGGGGAGUACGGCCGACAAGGUUG